UUGUUUUAAUUUGAUUACAAUUAAUCAUUAAGGUUAUUUCGUCUUUUUACCAAAGAUAUGGGUUACUACAGUUUUUGAAACCAAACGUGUGUCAUUUAAGUUAUUUAUGUUAAGAGUUGAGUCAAUCUAAGCAAAUCUUACUU
rnacentral:sRNA from 1 species